CCUACGGGUGGCAGCAGUGAGGAAUAUUGGUCAAUGGCCGGAAGGCUGAACCAGCCAAGUCGCGUGAGGGAAUAAGGCCCUAUGGGUCGUAAACCUCUUUUGCCAGGGAGCAACGGCCGCCACGUGUGGACCCGCGGAGAGUACCCGAAGAAAAAGCAUCGGCUAACUCCGUGCCAGCAGCCGCGGUAAUACGGAGGAUGCGAGCGUUAUCCGGAUUUAUUGGGUUUAAAGGGUGCGUAGGCGGAGUGUCAAGUCAGCGGUAAAAUUUCGGGGCUCAACCCCGUCGUGCCGUUGAAACUGGCGCCCUUGAGUGGGUGAGAAGUAAGCGGAAUGCGUGGUGUAGCGGUGAAAUGCAUAGAUAUCACGCAGAACGCCGAUUGCGAAGGCAGCUUGCCGGCGCUCAACUGACGCUGAAGCACGAAAGUGCGGGUAUCGAACAGGAUUAGAUACCCUAGUAGUC
rnacentral:rRNA from 1 species